rnacentral:misc_RNA from 1 species
GAAAUGCGAUAAGUAGUGUGUAUUGCAGAAUUCAGUGAAUCAUCGAAUCUUUGAACGCACAUUGCGCCCCUUGGUAUUCCAUGGGGCAUGCCUGUUCGAGCGUCAUUUGUACCCUCAAGCUCUGCUUGGUGUUGGGUGUUUGUCCCCGUCUCCGCGCGUGGACUCGCCCCAAAGUGAUUGGCAGCCGGCGUACUGGUCCCGGAGCGCAGCACAUGUCGCGCAAACGAGUGCCUUGGUACGGCGGCGUCCAUAAGCCCCUCUCUCACGCUCUUGACCUCGGAUCAGGUAGGGAUACCCGCUGAACUUAAGC